UGGAAAGGAACCUGGUGGGAAGGCAGGGCCAACCCAGAGGAGCUCAGAUGUGUGCAAUGAACCUGAGUGAUUGGAAGGCAUGGAGCCAGAAUCCAUUCCUUCCCCGACCUCAUUUAGGGAUUGGCUGUGGAAGAAAGGUGUUAUUAUCUGGGGAUCCCUGCCUACUUGAUGACGUUAUAGCCUUUCUGAGGAUUAAAAGAAGAUGGGGGGGGGAAAAACACCAACUAUACGAAGACAAUGGAUAAACUAGCAAGAGAAGAGGAAACUGUCUUAAAGUGACUUUAACACUUAAAUUUAACCUACAUCAAAGGGCAUCAGUCGAUGCAUGUGUGCCAAAACCUCACUCUUCUCAUCUACGCUUUGUGAUGCCCGGAUCUUCUGCUGCCUUUUCUCUCUUUACUGUCACCAAACAGCUUUUGUGUGCCCAGGAAAAGAAAGGAGUGCCACAUCUGGAAUUUUCAGCUUCCAGCCUUACAAGUUUACAGAGAGCAUGCUCCUGCUCCUCCUGAAGGCAGUAGAACUGCCCCUUCCAGCAGGAGCAAAACCAGAUUGGUUGCCAAGGGAAAGCUGCCACUGGGAGGGAGAGAGAAAAACAAAAAAAAAUACUAAAUAUAAGUGCAGAUGUUUUCCUCAAGAGCUUGUUUUUCUGACACAAAACAGGAAACUUUUAUUUAAGAAUGUAUGUAUGGAUAAUGUUCCUCAAAGCAUUGGAUUUUAACAGUUUUGCGCUUAGUUUGUAUAUUUUGACAUGUAACAAUCAAAGCAGAGAUGGGAAUGUGUGGGUUUUCAGUUUCAUGUCGUUGUUUGGUGGUGGUUUUCUUGCUUAUUUGAUUUUUUUUUUCUUUCAUUGCUUUUG